AUUGAACGCUGGCGGCAGGCCUAACACAUGCAAGUCGAGCGGAUGAAGGGAGCUUGCUCCUGGAUUCAGCGGCGGACGGGUGAGUAAUGCCUAGGAAUCUGCCUGGUAGUGGGGGAUAACGUCCGGAAACGGGCGCUAAUACCGCAUACGUCCUGAGGGAGAAAGUGUGGGAUCUUCGGACCUCACGCUAUCAGAUGAGCCUAGGUCGGAUUAGAUAGUUGGUGGGGUAAAGGCCUACCAAGGCGACGAUCCGUAACUGGUCUGAGAGGAUGAUCAGUCACACUGGAACUGAGACACGGUCCAGACUCCUACGGGAGGCAGCAGUGGGGAAUAUUGGACAAUGGGCGAAAGCAUGAUCCAGCCAUGCCGCGUGUGUGAAGAAGGUCUUCGGAUUGUAAAGCACUUUAAGUUGGGAGGAAGGGCAGUAAGUUAAUACCUUGCUGUUUUGACGUUACCAACAGAAUAAGCACCGGCUAACUUCGUG
rnacentral:rRNA from 1 species